GCACUGCUGAAGAGUCCCAUGCUAGGACGAAAGGGCCAUCCAGUGC
rnacentral:hammerhead_ribozyme from 1 species